ensembl:lncRNA
CUCGGACAACAGCUGCAAGGCUUGCUGGGCUGCAGAAACAAAGGGCGCCUAGCACGGUGCAAAGAAAGAGUUGACAGGUUGUUGUUAGCAGUGGCAAAUGUGUGAGAGCGGCUGCUUGUGAGGCUGGGGGAACGCUUCUGAAAGCAAUCACGUCGCUUCCUACGCUCGCUCUCCUAAACACCUACGUCUGGUCACCUUUAUUCUUCCCGUGCAGGCCCUCGGCUGCGAGCUUCAGACUGCGUGAACGCAAAGGAACUACGAGGACAGCUUCAGGUUCCACUCUCCCCAGUAUGUUACAAUGACGACCCCACGCUGGGAACAGCCACACGGCCCAGAGGUGCCAAACUGGCACGGAUAUCUCACUCAGCAUUCAGCAUCUAAGCCCUUGGCAAGCCCCAUGGCAGUUGUGCUUGGCUGCUCUUGGAUCUGUCAUGUGGUCAGGCUGCUGAUAGCAGUAGGGUGCUGCGUCCUCUGGGCACCAUUUCACUUUAACACCUGUCUGAUUCAGAGGAAUGCGCGCACAUGGAGAGCAAGAUCCCCACACAAAUCCUCCCAGAGACCC